UAGGGAAUCUUCCACAAUGGACGCAAGUCUGAUGGAGCAACGCCGCGUGAGUGAAGAAGGUUUUCGGAUCGUAAAGCUCUGUUGUUGGUGAAGAAGGAUAGAGGCAGUAACUGGCCUUUAUUUGACGGUAAUCAACCAGAAAGUCACGGCUAACUACGUGCCAGCAGCCGCGGUAAUACGUAGGUGGCAAGCGUUGUCCGGAUUUAUUGGGCGUAAAGCGAGCGCAGGCGGAAGAAUAAGUCUGAUGUGAAAGCCCUCGGCUUAACCGAGGAAUUGCAUCGGAAACUGUUUUCUUGAGUGCAGAAGAGGAGAGUGGAACUCCAUGUGUAGCGGUGGAAUGCGUAGAUAUAUGGAAGAACACCAGUGGCGAAGGCGGCUCUCUGGUCUGCAACUGACGCUGAGGCUCGAAAGCAUGGGUAGCGAACAGAAUUAGAUACCCUGGUAGUCCAUGCCGUAAACGAUGAGUGCUAAGUGUUGGGGAGGUUUUC
rnacentral:rRNA from 1 species